AUCCUAUUCAGUUUGUCACUAUUUCCACUAAAUAUACUUCUUGUUAUUGUUAUAAGGAAUUAAGUAAUAUCACUCUGGCUCUUUAAGAGCAGAAGUCUUCUCAAUAAAACUCUGUCUUUAUAGGAGAAAACCACAAAAGAGAGGAAGAGAGUGAAUUCUGGUUACUCUGACAGUUGGCUUCUGGCAGUUUUGAAUUACAGUUAAGGAGGUUGAAAGAAGAAAGACUUAAUAAUUUAGCUUAGGAAGGUUAGAUAGAAUUUUAAUCUUAGUUUAGUGAGUGUAGGUUUGGUGAAGUCUUCACCGGCAGAAUCAAUGAGAAUAAAUAAUCAAUAAAGGAGAAGAAUGAAGAGGGCUAGGCAAUGGAGGUUAAAUGACUUGCCCAGGAUGGCACAACCUCAUCUCCAGUACCAUUCCUCUGGAAUGCUGAAAGAAUGGAAGACGAUUUUACCCUUCCCUACAAGCAUAACUGCAACUGGUUGCAGAAACCAGUGGCUGAAUAGGACAUGGGCUUGUCCACAGAAUCUGAAAGGAAAAUACCUAAAAGUGGACUUUGCCCAAGAGAUUAUAGCAAGUGAGGUCCUGAGAGUUCCCGAAGAUCCACACAACACAAGAAGCAAAUGUGUUUGCCUACAUGGACUCAAAAGGGAAUUCUUAGAUAAUAUUCCUGGAUUCUUAACCUCUUGGGCAAUAGCAGAGGAGUAGUUUAGUUUCCAAGACAGCAUGAUUCCAGCUUCUGACUAACCUAAAGCAUCACAAGUCCCCUAACCUAUAUCCUGAAUCUGUCACCUGUGGAUUUAUCUGGAACAUUUGAGGGAGUUAUUUGUAUUUUUUGCUUGGGCCAUCUCUGGUGGUAAUAAACUUCCUAAGUUUACUACCCA
rnacentral:lncRNA from 1 species